rnacentral:rRNA from 1 species
UACAGAGGUCUCAAGCGUUGUUCGGAUUCAUUGGGCGUAAAGGGUGCGUAGGCGGCGCGGUAAGUCGGGUGUGAAAUCUCGGAGCUUAACUCCGAAACUGUAUUCGAUACUGCCGUGCUUGAGGACUGGAGAGGAGACUGGAAUUUACGGUGUAGCGGUGAAAUGCGUAGAUAUCGUAAGGAAGACCAGUGGCGAAGGCGGGUCUCUGGACAGUUCCUGACGCUGAGACACGAAGGUCAGGGGGAGCAAACGGG